rnacentral:rRNA from 1 species
GUAUAUGAUCAGUCUAAAUGACAUAUCCAUGAUCACUCAAUCUUUGAAGCUAAGCAGGUUUGGGCCUGGUUAGUACUUGGAUGAGAGACCACCUAGGAAGACCAGGUGCUAUAGGCA